ensembl:snRNA U6 U6 spliceosomal RNA
GCGUCAGCACAUAUGCUAAAACUGGAACGAUACAGAGGUUAGCAUGGCCCCUGCACAAGGAUGAUAUGCAAAUUUGUGAAGCAUUCCAUAUUAAA